CCUACGGGAGGCUGCAGUGAGGAAUAUUGGUCAAUGGACGCGAGCCUGAACCAGCCAAGUCGCGUGAGGGAAGACGGCCCUAUGGAUUGUAAACCUCUUUUGUCAGGGAGUAAAAGGCGCCACGCGUGCCUUUCCGAGAGUACCUGAUGAAAAAGCAUCGGCUAACUCCGUGCCAGCAGCCGCGGUAAUACGGAGGAUCCGAGCGUUAUCCGGAUUUAUUGGGUUAAAAGGGUGCGAAGUGGGAAGAUAAAGUCAGCGGUAAAAUUGUGAGGCUAAACCUCAUAGAGCCGUUGAAACUGGUUGUCUUGAGUGAGCGAGAGGUAUGCGGAAUGCGUGGUGUAGCGGUGAAAUGCAUAGAUAUCACGAAGAACUCCGAUUGCGAAGGCAGCAUACCAGCGUGCAACUGACGCUCAUGCACGAAAGUGUGGGUAUCGAACAGGAUUAGAUACCCUGGUAGUC
rnacentral:rRNA from 1 species